rnacentral:rRNA from 1 species
GAUGAACGCUGACAGAAUGCUUAACACAUGCAAGUCGACUCGAGUCUUCGGACUUGGGUGGCGCACGGGUGAGUAACGCGUAAAGAACUUGCCUCUUAGACCGGGACAACAUCUGGAAACGGAUGCUAAUACCGGAUAUUAUGGUUUUUUCGCAUGGAGGAAUCAUGAAAGCUAGAUGCGCUAAGAGAGAGCUUGCGUCCCAUUAGCUAGUUGGUGAGGUAACGGCCCACCAAGGCAAUGAUGGGUAGCCGGCCUGAGAGGGUGAACGGCCACAAGGGGACUGAGACACGGCCCUUACUCCUACGGGAGGCAGCAGUGGGGAAUAUUGGACAAUGGACCACAAGUCUGAUCCAGCAAUUCUGUGUGCACGAUGACGUUUUUCGGAAUGUAAAGUGCUUUCAGUCGGGAAGAAGUCAGUGACGGUACCGACAGAAGAAGCGACGGCUAAAUACGUGCCAGCAGCCGCGGUAAUACGUAUGUCGCAAGCGUUAUCCGGAUUUAUUGGGCGUAAAGCGCGUCUAGGCGGCAAGGAAAGUCUGAUGUGAAAAUGCGGAGCUCAACUCCGUAUGGCGUUGGAAACUGCCUUACUAGAGUACUGGAGAGGUAGGCGGAACUACAAGUGUAGAGGUGAAAUUCGUAGAUAUUUGUAGGAAUGCCGAUGGGGAAGCCAGCCUACUGGACAGAUACUGACGCUAAAGCGCGAAAGCGUGGGUAGCAAACAGG